rnacentral:lncRNA from 1 species
UUUUUUUUUUUUAAAAGAUUUUAUUUAUUUAUUCCUGAGAGACACAGACACAGAGAGAGGCAGAGACACAGGCAGGGGAAGGGGCGUGGUCAGGUGUACAGACCAGGUACAGAUGGGGAUUUGAUGAUACUGGCCAAGUGGGCUUGGGUUUCUAGCAGCUGUUGUGGCCUCAGGGGUUCCCUUUAUAACUACAAGAGAGGCAGCUAUUGGUAAUGCAGUGGGUAUACUUUGCUCGGGCUGAUGUAACAAAGAACCACAAACCUGAUGGCUUAAGCAACAGAAAUUACUUGUCUGUAGCUCUGGGUGCUGGAAGUUCAAGAUCACAGUGUUGGCCACGUUGGUUCAUUCUGGGGACUCUGAGGAGGAAUCUGCUCCAUGCCCCUCUCCUAAUUUCUGGUAGUUUGCUGAGAAUCUUUGGUGUUUCUUGACAUGUAAAAGCAUCCCUGAGAUCCCUACCUUCAUCUUUGCAUGCUGUUCUCUGUGCUUGUGUCUAUGUCCAAAUUUCCCCUUUUUAUAAGGAUACCAGUCAUUUUGGAUUGGGGCCCACCCUGUUCAUUUUAACUGAUUCUAUGCAACAGCCCUAGUUCCAAAUACAGUCAUAUUCUGAGGUACCAGGGAUUAGGACUUCCACAUAUGAAUUUUGGGGGGACACAAUUCAAGCCAGAAUAGUGGGUGUCAGGGACAUUGCUCACUUCUGGACACUCCAAUUCAUUCAGUAUUCAUUCUGAGUACCUGAGCAUUCAAGACACUUUACUAGGUAUAACAGGGAAUAUACUGAUAGACUGAAACAACAUCCCUGGCUUCAGGGACCUGGAGUUGGUGGUGGUAGAAGGAGCCAGUGGAGUAUGAAAAACUCAGAUAACGAAAACAGGAGUAGAAUCUGAUAAAUGCUAUGUGAGAUAGGAGCAGAUUGUUACUUACAUAAAUUAAAAGAUGAUUUGAGAAGGGAGGUGAAGUCUUGCAGCUGAUUUGGCUUAUUUUUGAUUAUACAGGUAAGGGAUCUCAUUUCCGAAAAUGUCAAACGACCUCCUGAAGGUCUUCCCUACCGUAAUCUUUCAAUUACACCAUGUAUAUAAGCACACUUGCAGACCCAUUUUCUAGUAUGUCAGAUGUCUUUGAAAUGUAUUACUUAAAAAAUUAUUUUUAUAUAACUGGUCAGGAAAAAGAUUACAUGAGCUUGUAAACACAGUGAAAAAUAAUGUUUGAAAGAAGUCAGAGACAUUUAUAUCCAGAGCAAAGUGACUGAGCUGUUGACUAAAUAUUGACUGUAAAUCUUCAGCCUCCCACUAUCCACAGGUGCCAAUCUGCCUACAGUUAUACACAGUUUAUAUCAUAUAUAUUUGAUGCCAAAAUGCACAGUAAGUUUCUUGAAUCCUUUAAAAAUAAAAUCACUAACCACCUUGAAUCACUAUGGUCUUCUGCUCCCUUCAUAGCAUUCAUCUUUCCUAAUUGAGGUCAGAAUGAGCUAGGAGAAAUGAGCUAGGCUCUGCACUUAGACCUGGACUCUUUUUGCACCAACAGAUAAACAUUGAUUAUUGCCAAUGCAAUUGCAAUAUUGAAAAAUACAAUGUGGAGCUGGGAUCCAUGGACUAGAACUUGAUAACCAUGGGAGCAAAAUGUCUGCCCUGAGUUUAAAGGUGGUUAGGAUUUGGUAGGUGUUGUGGUGUAUGGUGUAGAAAGCGUAAGAAAAAAGAGAAGAUGAAGAGGAAAUUGAUCUUACCCUUUUGGAUAUAUAGUGAAAUUUCCCUAAGAAAGUGAAAUUAUCUUAGGAACGAUCUUAGGGCAAGAGGGGGUGAGAAGUGGAAAUCUGGAAUCAUUGAUUCAAAAUAGAAUUUCUGAUUUAUUUUAUGCAAAUGGAAGGUAGGAUUGGCUUUGUUAUUGACAGCAUUUAAGACAUCAGGUCCCUGGGUUACAGAUGGGUCUGAUUCUUGGCAUUGGAAUGCUUAAAGUCCCAUAAAGUUGACCCAGACAGUGAUCCAGGCACUAGAGAUGAAUUUGCCAUCUCAUUUGUGGCAGUGAGGAACCAUAACCAGGCAAUGCAUCAUUGAGCCUCUGAUUUGGGAAGGAUAAAUACGGGAAAAAAACCCUUUAGUACUUUUUUAAAAGAGCCUAUUUUUAGGGCAGUUUUCAGUUGAUAGCACAAUUGAGUGCAAGUAGAGAGUUCCCAUAUCACCCCUGCCCCCACAUAUGCACAGCUUCCCUCUAUUAGCAUUCCCCACUGGAGUGGCACAUUUGUUAUAAUUGAUGAACCUACGUUGACACACACACAUCAUUAUGAUCCAAAGUCCAUAGUUUCCUUACUGUUCACUUUUGGUGUUGUGUAGACGAAUGAAUAAUGACAUGUGCCCACAAUUGUAGUACCAUACAGAGUAUUUUCACUGCUCUAAAAAUCUGUGUGCUCCACUUCUUCAUAUAUCUCUCCCCUCAACUCUUGACAACGACUGAUAUUUUUACUGUUUCCAUAGUUUUAGCCUUUUCCAGAAUGUCAUUUGGUUGGAGUCAUACAGUGUGUAGCCUUUUCAAAUUGGCUUCUUUCACUUAGUAAAAUGCAUUUAAAGUCUCCUUUGUAUCUUUUCAUGGCUUGAUAGCUCACUUCUUUUUAUCCCUGAAUAUUUCAUGGUCUGGAAGUACCACAGUUUAUCUCUUCACCUAUGGAAGGACCACUGUGGUUGCUUCCAAGUUCUGACAAUUAUGAGUAAAGCUGCUGUAAACAUCUCUGUGUAGGUUUUUGUGCAGACCUAAGUUUGCAAAUUCUUUGGGUAAAUACCAAGGAGUGGAAUUGCUAAAUUGUAUGAUAGGAGUAUACUUAAUUUUGUAAGAAACCACUAGACUGACCUUCAAACUAGCUGUACCAUUUUUGCAUUCUUGCCAGCAAUGAAUGAGAGUUCCUAGUGCUUCGUGUCCUUGUCAGCAUUUGGUGGUGUCAGUAUCAUGGAUUUGGGCCAUUCCAAUAGGUAUGCGGUGGUGGUAUUUCAUUGUUUUAAUUUGUAUUUGCCUGAUGACCUAUGAUACAGAACAUCUCAUAAACUUAUUUGCCAUCUGCUUCUCCCUUUGCCUGUGUCUCUGUCUCUGUCUCUCUGCAUCUCUCAUGAAUAAAUAAAUAAAAUAUUAAAAAAAAAAAAAA